GACGAACGCUGGCGGCGUGCUUAACACAUGCAAGUCGAACGGUAAGGCUCCAGCUUGCUGGGGUACACGAGUGGCGAACGGGUGAGUAACACGUGGGUGACCUGCCCUGCACUUCGGGAUAAGCCUGGGAAACUGGGUCUAAUACGGGAUAGGACCGCACCGUGAGGGUGUGGUGGAAAGUUUUUUCGGUGUGGGAUGGGCCCGCGGCCUAUCAGCUUGUUGGUGGGGUAAUGGCCUACCAAGGCGGCGACGGGUAGCCGGCCUGAGAGGGUGGACGGCCACAUUGGGACUGAGACACGGCCCAGACUCCUACGGGAGGCAGCAGUGGGGAAUAUUGCACAAUGGGCGGAAGCCUGAUGCAGCGACGCCGCGUGGGGGAUGACGGCCUUCGGGUUGUAAACUCCUUUCACCAUCGACGAAGGGUUUCUGACGGUAGAUGGAGAAGAAGCACCGGCUAACUACGUGCCAGCAGCCGCGGUAAUACGUAGGGUGCGAGCGUUGUCCGGAAUUACUGGGCGUAAAGAGCUCGUAGGUGGUUUGUCGCGUCGUCUGUGAAAUUCCGGGGCUUAACUCCGGGCGUGCAGGCGAUACGGGCAUAACUUGAGUACUGUAGGGGAGACUGGAAUUCCUGGUGUAGCGGUGAAAUGCGCAGAUAUCAGGAGGAACACCGGUGGCGAAGGCGGGUCUCUGGGCAGUAACUGACGCUGAGGAGCGAAAGCAUGGGGAGCGAACAGGAUUAGAUACCCUGGUAGUCCAUGCCGUAAACGGUGGGCGCUAGGUGUGGGUUUCCUUCCACGGGAUCCGUGCCGUAGCUAACGCAUUAAGCGCCCCGCCUGGGGAGUACGGCCGCAAGGCUAAAACUCAAAGGAAUUGACGGGGGCCCGCACAAGCGGCGGAGCAUGUGGAUUAAUUCGAUGCAACGCGAAGAACCUUACCUGGGCUUGACAUAUACAGGAUCGCGCCAGAGAUGGUGUUUCCCUUGUGGCUUGUAUACAGGUGGUGCAUGGUUGUCGUCAGCUCGUGUCGUGAGAUGUUGGGUUAAGUCCCGCAACGAGCGCAACCCUUGUCUUAUGUUGCCAGCACGUUGUGGUGGGGACUCGUAAGAAACUGCCGGGGUUAACUCGGAGGAAGGUGGGGAUGACGUCAAAUCAUCAUGCCCCUUAUGUCCAGGGCUUCACACAUGCUACAAUGGUCGGUACAGUGGGUUGCCAGUCCGUGAGGGCGAGCUAAUCCCGCAAAGCCGGUCUCAGUUCGGAUCGGGGUCUGCAACUCGACCCCGUGAAGUCGGAGUCGCUAGUAAUCGCAGAUCAGCAACGCUGCGGUGAAUACGUUCCCCGGGCU
rnacentral:rRNA from 1 species